rnacentral:rRNA from 1 species
UACGUAGGGCGCAAGCGUUUGUCCGGAAUUAUUGGGCGUAAAGAGCUCGUAGGCGGCUUGUCACGUCGGGUGUGAAAGCCCGGGGCUUAACCCCGGGUCUGCAUUCGAUACGGGCUAGCUAGAGUGUGGUAGGGGAGAUCGGAAUUCCUGGUGUAGCGGUGAAAUGCGCAGAUAUCAGGAGGAACACCGGUGGCGAAGGCGGAUCUCUGGGCCAUUACUGACGCUGAGGAGCGAAAGCGCGGGGAGCGAACAGG